rnacentral:rRNA from 1 species
UGAGUAAUCUGCCCUCGACACUGGGAUAGCCCGGGGAAACCCGGAUUAAUACCGGAUAGCCUUUCGAGCUCUCGGGCUCGUCAGAAAAGGNUGGCUUCGGCUUUCGGUUGAGGAUGAGCUUGCGGCGGAUUAGCUUGUUGGUGAGGUAACGGCUCACCAAGGCGACAAUCCGUAGCUGGUCUGAGAGGACGAUCAGCCACACGUGGGACUGAGACACCGGCCCAGACCUUCGUAACCGGGGAGG